GUGGCUGUAGCUCAGUUGGUAGAGCGCCGGACUGUGACUCCGGUUGUCGCGGGUUCGAUCCCCGUCAGCCACC
rnacentral:tRNA from 1 species